rnacentral:tRNA from 2 species
AGGCGGUUAGUAUAGAAAGUACAUUAGCCUGUCACGCUAAAAGUGCACAAGCAAUUGAGCACCGCCUA